rnacentral:rRNA from 1 species
UACGUAGGGUGCGAGCGUUGUCCGGAAUUAUUGGGCGUAAAGAGCUCGUAGGCGGCCUGUCGCGUCGGUUGUGAAAGCCCGGGGCUUAACCCCGGGUCUGCAGUCGAUACGGGCAGGCUAGAGUUCGGUAGGGGAGAUCGGAAUUCCUGGUGUAGCGGUGAAAUGCGCAGAUAUCAGGAGGAACACCGGUGGCGAAGGCGCUGCUCUGGGCCGGUACUGACGCUGAGACGCGAAAGCGUGGGGAGCGAACAGG